GACAGAGGUGCCGAGCGUUAGGCGGAAUCACUGGGCUUAAAGCGUGUGUAGGCGGGUCGUUAAGUGCCUUGUGAAAUCCCACAGCUCACCUGUGGAACUGCUUGGCAUACUGGCGAUCUUGAGCCACUUAGGGGCAACCGGAACAAACGGUGGAGCGGUGAAAUGCGUAGAUAUCGUCAAGAACACCGAUAGCGAAGGCAGCUUACUGGGCUGUAACUGACGCUGAGGCACGAAAGUGUGGGGAUCAAACAGG
rnacentral:rRNA from 1 species